GUACACGCUGUGACUAGCAUAUCAAUAAGCGGAGGAAAAGAAACUAACAGGGAUUCCCCUAGUAACGGCGAGUGAAGCGGGAAGAGCUCAAAUUUGAAAUCUUAAAGGGUUUCCCUUUACGAAUUGUAGUUUAAAGAAGUGUUUUCUGUUGAGGUUUUGGUAAAAGUUCUUUGGAAUAGGACAUCAUAGAGGGUGAGAAUCCCGUAUUUGACCUUUACUUUCAACUUUGUGAUACACUUUCAAAGAGUCGGAUUGUUUGGGAAUGCAGUCCAAAAUGGGUGGUAAAUUUCAUCUAAAGCUAAAUAUUGGCGAGAGACCGAUAGCGAACAAGUACCGUGAGGGAAAGAUGAAAAGAACUUUGAAAAGAGAGUUAAACAGUACGUGAAAUUGUCAAAAGGGAAGCGUUUGACACCAGUGUUGUUUUUCUGAAAAUCAAUUAAAGAACUGUUUAUGCUAAGUUGUUUAGACUUUAUCAGCUAACUGUUUAGUUUUGAGCUUUUCUUUAAUGCACUUUUCAGUUAACAAGUCAACAUCAAUUUCUUUUGCUGUAAAAAAGCUUGAGGAAGGUGGCUUGAGAUUCGUCUUAAGUGUUUAUAGCCUCUUGCCUAUGCGGUCGGAGAGAUUGAGGUCUGCAGCGUAGAUCCUUCGGGGCUAAAUGCAUUUGUGCUAAGUUAUAGCAUUUUAUAGACAACUUGUUGACUAUGAUUUGUCUUGUAGCUUACUCGCUUAUGUUAUUUUACCUACGCUUAGGAUGUUGAAGAUGUAGCACAUCAU
rnacentral:rRNA from 1 species